UUUGAAUUGAGAGACAGUAUUUUGUGUAGGACUCGCAGUGUGGAGAUUAUCGGAAAAACAGCAAGCGUGACCGGAUAUUCCUGAUGGUGUCUUGUAAAUUAUGUGACAAUCAACUUCCCAGCAAGCACCGGUGAGACAAUCAACUUCCCAGCAAGCACCGAGUAGACAUCUGGGCUGUGUUUGGACGGCAAUUAGACGAAAUUGCUUGCUGGGAUCAGAAGUUGCCGGGGCGUUUCAAACUUCAGCUUAAUUCCGGAAUUUGUGAAACACGGAUCAGUGGAUUUCUAAACAUUAUUUGAACACUGUUGCUGAAAAGUGGUGUGAUCAUAUUUGAUCAUAUACACCUUUUCAGUUAAAUGACAAAGUGUAAAUUUUUAGACAUAGGCCUGACGCGUCUAGUAAGUCAUACUUUUAAUAAUAAUGCCUUAUAACAUAAAGCAAUCGUAUUUAUAAAUGCAUUGGAUGUUGUCAUAGGUUUGUAUUACGUUAUACAGUCAUCCAGUAGGAAACUUAAAUUGAUUACCGUUUAUAUUAUACCUAAAUGGCAUAUAUUUGUGUUUAUUUUUAUUUUGGCCUUAUUAUUGCUAA